rnacentral:rRNA from 1 species
UACGUAGGGGGCUAGCGUUGUCCGGAAUCAUUGGGCGUAAAGCGCGCGUAGGCGGCCCGGUAAGUCCGCUGUAAAAGUCCAGGGCUCAACCCUGGAAAGCCGGUGGAUACUGUCGGGCUAGAGUACGGAAGAGGCGAGUGGAAUUCCUGGUGUAGCGGUGGAAUGCGCAGAUAUCAGGAGGAACACCAAUAGCGAAGGCAGCUCGCUGGGACGUUACUGACACUGAGGCGCGAAAGCGUGGGGAGCGAACAGG